GCCAGUGUAGCAUAAUGGUUUGAACAUUGGACUAUGAUUUUAGAGACCAGGUUUCGAUUCCCAGUUCAGACA